rnacentral:rRNA from 1 species
UACAGAGGUCCCAAGCGUUGUUCGGAUUCACUGGGCGUAAAGGGUGCGUAGGCGGUCGGGUAAGUCUGAUGUGAAAUCUCACAGCUUAACUGUGAAACUGCAUUGGAUACUAUCCGGCUAGAGGAAUGGAGGGGAGACUGGAAUACUUGGUGUAGCAGUGAAAUGCGUAGAUAUCAAGUGGAACACCAGUGGCGAAGGCGAGUCUCUGGACAUUUCCUGACGCUGAGGCGCGAAGGCCAGGGUAGCAAACGGG